rnacentral:rRNA from 2 species
UGAAAGCAUCUAAGCAUGAAGCCCCCCUCAAGAUGAGAUUUCCCAUAGCGUAAGCUAGUAAGAUCCCUGAAAGAUGAUCAGGUUGAUAGGUUCGAGGUGGAAGCAUGGUGACAUGUGGAGCUGACGAAUACUAAUAGAUCGAGGACUUAACCAUAUAA